UUGCUGGAUCAAAACUUCCUUAAAUAGGAUAGUGAGAAACUGCUACAGUCACUACGAUAAGAACACUUUGAACACUCUGGUAAAACAUUUAACAAACAAUCAAGAGCAUCAGACUUGUUUCCUGAAGAGGUUUCCUUACGUGGGCCAUAAAUGCAUUCUAGCAUCCAUGCAGAUUUUUGGUAAA